rnacentral:rRNA from 1 species
UCAAGUGAAUAAGCGCAUACGGUGGAUGCCUAGGCGAUAACAGGCGAUGAAGGACGUAGUAGCUUGCGAUAAGCUGCGGGGAGCCGGCAAACAGGCUUUGAUCCGCAGAUGUCCGAAUGGGGAAACCCACCUCGUAAGAGGUAUCCUGCACUGAAUACAUAGGUGCUGGAAGCGAACCCGGGGAACUGAAACAUCUAAGUACCCGGAGGAAAAGAAAUCAACCGAGAUUCCGAAAGUAGUGGCGAGCGAAAUCGGAACAGCCCAGUCACAUCAAACACAAUCAUUUUAGCGGAACGGUCUGGAAAGUCCGGCAAUAAAGGGUGAUAGCCCCGUACGCGAAAGGGUGAUUGUGUGGGUGACGAUGAGUAGGACGGGACACGUGUAAUCCUGUCUGAAGAUGGGGGGACCAUCCUCCAAGGCUAAAUACUCGUUAUCGACCGAUAGUGAACCAGUACCGUGAGGGAAAGGCGAAAAGAACCCCGGAGAGGGGAGUGAAAUAGAUCCUGAAACCGUAUGCGUACAAAGCAGUUCGAGCCCGAAAGGGUGAGAGCGUACCUUUUGUAUAAUGGGUCAGCGAGUUACUUUCAGUGGCAAGGCUAACCGUUUAGGGGAGCCGUAGGGAAACCGAGUCUUAAUAGGGCGUUAAGUCGCUGGGAGUAGACCCGAAACCGGACGAUCUAUCCAUGGCCAGGCUGAAGGUGGGGUAAUACCCACUGGAGGGCCGAACCCACGCCCGUUGAAAAGGUCGGGGAUGAGCUGUGGAUAGGAGUGAAAGGCUAAUCAAGUCCGGAGAUAGCUGGUUCUCCUCGAAAGCUAUUUAGGUAGCGCCUCGUGUAUCGCCAUCGGGGGUAGAGCACUGUUACGGCUAGGGGUCCAUCUCGGACUACCAAACCGUUGCAAACUCCGAAUACCGAUGAGUGGAAGCACGGGAGACACACGGCGAGCGCUAACGUCCGUCGUGAAGAGGGAUGAAAACCCAGACCGCCAGCUAAGGUCCCGAAAUCACAACUCAGUGGUGAACGAUGUGGGAAGGCAUAGACAGCCAGGAUGUUGGCUUAGAAGCAGCCACCAUUUAAAGAAAGCGUAAUAGCUCACUGGUCGAGUCGGCCUGCGCGGAAGAUUUAACGGGGCUCAAGUUGUGUACCGAAGCUGCGGAUGCAUCGCAAGAUGCGUGGUAGAGGAGCGUUCCGUACGCCUGCGAAGGUGGAUCGUAAGGUCUGCUGGAGGUAUCGGAAGUGCGAAUGCUGACAUGAGUAGCGAUAAUGCGGGUGAAAAACCCGCACGCCGAAAGCCCAAGGUUUCCUGCGCAACGUUAAUCGGCGCAGGGUGAGUCGGUCCCUAAGGCGAGGCCGAAAGGCGUAGUCGAUGGACAACAGGUCAAUAUUCCUGUACCGCACAUGAUUGCUAUGGGGGGACGGAGAAGGCUAAAUCAGCCGGGCGUUGGUUAUCCCGGUUUAAGCAGGUAGGUGGAUCCCUUUGGCAAAUCCGGGGGGUCAACACCGAGACGUGAUGACGAGGUUCCUCGUGAACCGAAGUGAUUGAUGCCAUGCUUCCAGGAAAAGCCCCUAUGCUUCAGAUCAUGUGUGACCGUACCCCAAACCGACACAGGUGGGCAGGGUGAAAAUCCCAAGGCGCUUGAGAGAACUCGGGUUAAGGAACUCGGCAAAUUGGCACCGUAACUUCGGAAGAAGGUGCGCCUUUGUUAGGUGAAGGACCUCGCGUCUGGAGCCGAGAAAGGUCGCAGAGAAUCGGUAGCUGCAACUGUUUAUCAAAAACACAGCACUCUGCAAACACGAAAGUGGACGUAUAGGGUGUGACGCCUGCCCGGUGCCGGAAGGUUAAUUGAUGGGGUUAGUCGCAAGACGAAGCCCUUGAUCGAAGCCCCGGUGAACGGCGGCCGUAACUAUAAGUUGACCGCUGUAGUUACGUUAAAAAACUUGGCUAUAUGCUGGAAACUCCGGUGUAUCCUCGGGUACUUUGGAAAUAGGGGUCAAACCCCAAUUUUCCUUAAGGAAAUAACACAAGGUGAUGAGCCCAAUGAAAAUUGGGGUUUGACCCCUAUUUCCAAGUGACAAUCCCGGAGGUGCGGACAAUCAGCAGGAAAGGCCGGUCGCAAGACCGGAAUCCUCAGAGACUAUACGCCGAGCCGCGAUUAUUGCGGAUGAUAUAGUCCGAUCUUUGUAGCGAUACAAAGGAACUGGUGAUCACAAACCGGUUCGCGUUGGCCAACUAAAGUGGCUGAUGUUAACGUUAAUGAACGGUCCUAAGGUAAGUAACGCUGCCUUAGUAAAAUCUGGCCAUAUGCUGGAAAAUCCGGUGUAUCCCCAAGGUACUCGUCGCGUAAGGCGGCAGUGACAAUCCUUGAGGUGCGGACAAUCAGCAGGAAAGAGUCCCGAAAUGCCCUUGAAUACCAAAACAGUGCCCGCGCACAUCGGCUAUUACCUUGCCGGUUUUGCUGAUGGCGAAGGCAGUUUCAAUCUCAAUUUU